rnacentral:misc_RNA from 1 species
GUGAAUCAUCGAAUUUUUGAACGCAAAUUGCGCCUUUUUCUGAAGGCAUGUCUGUUUGAGGUCGCCAUUUAACAAAUAAUUUGCAUUUCGUGUGCACACGGGGAUGAGCUUUCUAAAAUUAUGUAAUAUUAUUUUUGGUGGCGCAUAAUGAACAGCGCGAUGCGUUUUUCAGUUCGAGUGUAGUAGAAUUUUUUCGUGCUUGGGUUGUGAAAAGCGUGAUCG